UACGAAGGGUGCAAGCGUUACUCGGAAUUACUGGGCGUAAAGCGUGCGUAGGUGGUGAGUUAAGUCUGUCGUGAAAGCCCCGGGCUCAACCUGGGAAUGGCGAUGGAUACUGGCUCGCUAGAGUGCGGUAGAGGAGAGUGGAAUUCCCGGUGUAGCAGUGAAAUGCGUAGAUAUCGUAAGGAAGACCAGUGGCGAAGGCGAAUCUCUGGACAGUUACUGACACUGAGGCACGAAGGCCAGGGGAGCAAACGGG
rnacentral:rRNA from 1 species